rnacentral:rRNA from 1 species
GGAGUCUGGACCGUGUCUCAGUUCCAGUGUGGGGGACCUUCCUCUCAGAACCCCUACCGAUCGUAGCCACGGUGGGCCGUUACCCCGCCGUCAAGCUAAUCGGACGCAUCCCCAUCCCAUAGCGGUGAACCUUUGGUAUUCUUCUGAUGUCAUCAAAAUACAACAUAGAGCAUUAAUCCGACUUUCGCCGGGCUAUUCUCUACUAUGGGGAAGGUUGGAUACGCGUUACUCACCCGUGCGCCGGUCGCCAUCAUCGGUUGCAAGCAACCGACAUGCUGCCCCUCGACUUGCAUGUGUUAAGCCUGUAGCUAGCGUUCAUC